rnacentral:lncRNA from 1 species
GAGAUAAUAUUAUUUUGCUAUUCACAAUCAGUUACGUUCCGCUACAUAUGAUAAUUACCUUAUAUGGAAGAGAGAGAAAACAAACCCCCUCUUACCAAUUAGUUUGUGUUUGUAAUUAAGGAGUAACUGCAUGCGCUUAAAUUGUUACUGUUUGACCAUGCAAUGCAUGCUAUUCUUCUUCUUUAAAUUUCCUCAGCUUUAUCUUGGAUUCUUUUUCAUGACGACUGUGUGAAAAGGAAGUCAUUAAUUAUAAACAUCUAGGCC